CCCUCCUUCAAAACCCACCCCAUCAAAGAAAGAGAUACGAGACGAUAGAAGGAGACGGUCCGCGUUUGUAUCUCCGAGAAGCUCGGCCGGAUCCGAUCGGUCUCUUCCCACCCGCACCUGUUUCAUGUCUCGUGCCAUCUUUCGCCCUCCCUUUGACUUGCUUGGAUUAGCGCGGGAUUUCGGUGGUGGGCGUCCGCCUACAAAUUCGCUGGGGCUCCUAAAAAGAUGAUUGUGAGAUGGUGCUUUGAGUUGGUUUUGGUUGACAACGAGAGAGAGCACGCUGGUCUGCACUUAUGCAGGGGGACAUGAAUGUGUACUUGCGUGCUUUCUAUCGUUGUCAAUCAUUGACAUGGCGCCAAGCAGCUUGCUUUUGUUCUUAUGGCUCGCAUGCAGGAAACUUUGCUGUAAGGGAGGCGUUCGUAUCUCAGUUGAGAGCUAAUCUCACACAGUCUAUGGCCAAAUCCUGAUACCAGCCAUCAUGAUCCUGUGAACCUUGGUGUGAAGAACAACCAAGUCAACCAACUUGUCAGCUUGAAUACAGUUUGAUGGUUACACAAUUUAAUGUGUUGUACAACAUAUUAAACUGUUAAAUUUUGGGUACCAGAAAGUAGGAUAUGAGUCAUAUUAUUCUAAUAGCAUUUCAAAUGUUUAUUCAUAAUGAAUUUUACACUUAUAUUUGAAUCCUCAUUGAUGUGUUAAGAAAUAUGCCAGUAUUAAUGUUCAUCAGCCAAAUGAUUGUCCUCUCGUGUCUGAUGCGCUUGCAUUGUAUGUCUAAUGUUUCCUGGUGCUUGAAUCUGGGUUCUGCAAUCUUCACUAGCAAUAAUCUUUUACUGAGUUCUUUAAUGCAGUUAUUUCAUGGGCAUUCAUAUAUGAAAUGCAAUGCCCUACUGGAGUUGAUAUGGUUUCAGCAGUCACCUCAUUAAUCAGAGAUAUUUUGUCCUUCAGUCUGUGAUGGGAGCCUAGAAUGCUUUACUAGAUUCCUAGAACUUAUACAUGUCUAUUCUUUUAGAUUUUUUCCUUUACUUGCUAGUCCCAAUUUACUGGCCUUCUAUUUUCAAGCUAAUUGCCUUGAAUUAUUUCCCGUGUGCAUCAUUUGCUUAAUGCUUGAUUAAUUAUUCAUUGUAGACCAUUUUACUGGUUCAGAAUGCAUAUAUGAUAUUUCUUCCUCAACUUUCCACUUAUUAAGCGUUUCAUCCGCAUUCUAUUUAUCUCUUUCUAUUUAUUAAAUACUUUUUAAAUGUUUUUACUUGUAUUCCUAGUAAUGGUGGUGGCUUGGUUGAGUGAUCUAAAGUUGUAGGUAAUAAGAGGGGUCAAUCUUUCAACUUUGGGUAUCAAGUUACCACAAAGACAAAUCCAGAAUUGGAAGAAGAGAGCAAAGGAAAGAGAGUUGUGUUGAGAUUAUUGUAUCUCGUUUUCUAGAUAUGAAGACAGUUUUUAGAGAUUUGUCACGCUAACAUGCGUGUGAAGCACUUGUAAGCUGAACAUGCAUAUUCUCGGAUAAUAGCCCUGGUCUCUGAGUAAGGAACACAUUAAAAUUAAGAAAUAUAAAACUUUUAUACCUAAACGUAGUGAAAAUAUAUUUUCAAACUGUCAGAAGUUUCUCAAAAUAUUCAUAGAUUCGUUACACUGUAUGAGUAUGCAAAUUAUUCUCUGAAAUGAUUAAUGGAGAAACAAUCAAAAUUGUUUCAGAAAUUAGAGCAAAGUUUGACAAACUUAACAACUGAUUCCCAAAUCGGUACCAAAACCAAAAUAUGAACUACAAAGAGUUAUGCUACAUAUUGUUCUUUCUAGAAAUACUAUUGUUGACUUAUAUUUCUUCUUUGAUGCUGAUUCUUUACAUUUAAAAAAUAAUAUAAUGUCAAAACCUAAUGGUCUCCUGAACUUUUUCUGAAGUUUUCUAGUCCUAGUUUGAUUAUUCCUUAGCAGCUAAAAGUUUAAUGUUUUGGCCAAAUUCUUCUUCUAUAUAUUCUCUAAAAUUUCCAAGCGAUGGAAUUAUGGAACACAGUUGCACAUGUAUGUGACAUCUAUGGUUAUCUCUG